GCGAACGCUGGCGGCAGGCUUAACACAUGCAAGUCGAGCGCCCGUAGCAAUACGGGAGCGGCAGACGGGUGAGUAACACGUGGGAACGUACUCUUUGGUUCGGAACAACACAGGGAAACUUGUGCUAAUACCGGAUAAGCCCUUACGGGGAAAGAUUUAUCGCCGAAGGAUCGGCCCGCGUCUGAUUAGCUAGUUGGUGGGGUAAUGGCCCACCAAGGCGACGAUCAGUAGCUGGUCUGAGAGGAUGAUCAGCCACACUGGGACUGAGACACGGCCCAGACUCCUACGGGAGGCAGCAGUGGGGAAUAUUGGACAAUGGGCGCAAGCCUGAUCCAGCCAUGCCGCGUGGGUGAUGAAGGCCCUAGGGUUGUAAAGCCCUUUCGGCGGGGAAGAUAAUGACGGUACCCGCAGAAGAAGCCCCGGCUAACUUCGU
rnacentral:rRNA from 1 species